UGGCCCAUUUAUGGUGAAUUUUGGAGCCCCAUUGUGAAACAUCAGGGGAGAGGCCGAGGGGUCAGAUAUUGGAGGACGCUAUUUAAAAACCAGAGAUCAUCUUCUGCUGAAGGAGGAGGUUUGCUCGAGACUGUAAAGAAGAAUCCAGCCGUCCGGCACGGGCGCAGGAAAGAAACUGUAGUAUCUUUUCCCCCAAAACCCUCAGCCACAGCCUCUGCUCUGGCUGCGGCUGAGUUGUGCUGCAUCAGGUGCUGCCUAGAAAGCUUUAUUUUGUCAGCUGUGUCAGUGAUGCCA